AAAAAGGGCCGGUUGGCUAUGUAUGCCACAUCCAUCCUCGACUGAUGGGUGCUGUAUGGCUAUCAAGACAUAUGGCCGGCAUAAUUUGUGGAAUACAAUAGGGUUGGCUCGCCUCGGCCGACCCUCCA
rfam:Setaria italica strain Yugu1 chromosome I, whole genome shotgun sequence.